rnacentral:rRNA from 1 species
GUGGGGAAUUUUGGACAAUGGGGGCAACCCUGAUCCAGCAAUGCCGCGUGCAGGAAGAAGGCCUUCGGGUUGUAAACUGCUUUUGUACGGAACGAAACGGUCCUGGUUAAUACCUGGGGCUAAUGACGGUACCGUAAGAAUAAGCACCGGCUAACUACGUGCCAGCAGCCGCGGUAAUACGUAGGGUGCAAGCGUUAAUCGGAAUUACUGGGCGUAAAGCGUGCGCAGGCGGUUUUGUAAGACAGGCGUGAAAUCCCCGGGCUCAACCUGGGAAUGGCGCUUGUGACUGCAAGGCUGGAGUGCGGCAGAGGGGGAUGGAAUUCCGCGUGUAGCAGUGAAAUGCGUAGAUAUGCGGAGGAACACCGAUGGCGAAGGCAAUCCCCUGGGCCUGCACUGACGCUCAUGCACGAAAGCGUGGGGAUCAAACAGGAUUAGAAACCCUGGUAGUCC